rnacentral:lncRNA from 1 species
CGCUGACUGACAGCCCAGUGCCCGGAGCAGGGAGCCCGAGUCGUGGCCGUGGCAGCCGCCACCGCCGCCGCCGCCGCCUGCUUUCCCUUCUCUCCCUCCAGCCCCCGGUCCCGGCCCCUUCCUCGGUCCCUUCCUGCCAGGGCCAUGGCUGCGAGGCCGCUUCGGCGGGGCUGGGUGCCGCGGGUGGGGCGGCGGCACUGAGUGGCGGCCGGGCGGAGGGGAGGGAAGCCGCCCCCGGGAGCCCCGCCGAGCCCCGCCGCCUCCCUCCGGGCCGGACCGGAGCAGGAGUGGCCUCCCCCGCCGUCCGACCCGGUCAUUUUGCUUGACCCCUCAAUUUGGAGGAUCUGAAGGAAGCUUUGGUGGAAACCAUGGAGGCAGCUUCCUAAUUGGCAUGAAUGGAAAGCAGAUCAUGCAGAAUCUGAAUGACCACUUCGCUUCUUACCUAGAGGAUAUACACUCUCUGGGCAUAUCUGAUAUAAAACUCAAAAGUUACAUCAUGGAAUGGCAUAAGAAGAGGGAGCCUGACAAUAAGUAAGAUUAUUCUCAAGAUGAGCAAAAUUUCAGUAACCUGCAGUUAUAGAUUUUGGGUGCCAACUUGCCAAUGUUAAGAUCCUACUACGUAUUGAUAAUAUGUAGAUAUAAUGAUAUAUACUUCACUCUCAAGUUUGAUGAGCUGUCCAUCAAGAAAGAGGUGAAUAUUGAAGUGGAGGUACUUUGGAAGAUCCUGGAUGGUGUUUGACAGUUGUCAUAUCUGACUUCGGAAGGGAGAUGAAAGGCAUGAGGAAGGAGCUUUUCCUUAUGAAGAAGCACCACAAAGAAGAAAUGGGCAAGCAACAUAUGACAGGUGAUAGUAAAGCUAAUAGGCAAAUUAAGUCAAUCUCAGGAGAUCUCAUUAAGGUCCUAGAGGGCAUGAGUUAGGAAUAUGAGUUUAUAAUUAAGAAGAACUAUCUAGACUUAGACACUUGGUACAAAGAACAAUCAGAAUCUAUGUCCCUCCCUAUCUUCUACCCAGUGAAUCAUCCCUUGUAACAAAGAAUAAAAAAAGAAAGGAGGAAAAGUUGAUCA